CGAUUUGGCCUCGGCCCUUUCGGGGAAAGGAUGGCCUCUGCUUGCAAGCCAUCGCUCUUGGACGGGCCCGCGGCCCCAUUAGCUAGUUGGUGAGGUAACGGCUCACCAAGGCGAUGAUGGGUAGCUGGUCUGAGAGGAUGAUCAGCCACACUGGGACUGGAACACGGCCCAGACUCCUACGGGAGGCAGCAGUGGGAAUUUUGCGCAAUGGGGAAACCCUGACGCAGCAACGCCGCGUGGGUGAUGAAGGCCCUUGGGUCGUAAAGCCCUGUCGGGUGGGAAGAAGCCCCCGUCGGCGAAUAGUCGGCGGGGAUGACGGUACCACUAGAGGAAGCACCGGCUAACUCUGUGCCAGCAGCCGCGGUAA
rnacentral:rRNA from 1 species